AUUGAACGCUGGCGGCAGGCCUAACACAUGCAAGUCGAGCGGAGCGGCGGACGGGUGAGUAAUGCCUAGGAAUCUGCCUGGUCGUGGGGGAUAACGUCCGGAAACGGGCGCUAAUACCGCAUACUAUCAGAUGAGUCUAGGUCGGAUUAGCUAGUGGGGGGGGUAAAGGCCUACCAAGGGGACGAUCCGUAACUGGUCUGAGAGGAUGAUCAGUCAAACGUGAACUGAGACACGGUCAAGACUCCUACGGUAGGCAGCAGUGGGGAAUAUUGGACAAUGGGCGAAAGCGUGAUCCAGCCAUGCCGCGUGUGUGAAGAAGGUCUGCGGAUUGUAAAGCACUUUAAGUUGGGAGGCGUUACCAACAGAAUAAGCACCGGCUAACUUCGUGCCAGCCGCCGCGGUAAUUC
rnacentral:rRNA from 1 species